CCCUCUAGAAUUUUCUCAACGCCAUUGAUAUCUCCCUCGCACACCGACCAUACCUUUCUUUUUCUACUUCAGCUAACUUAUAACCCAGCAAACCACGUGCGCCACUCAAAUCGCCAGACAAUGACCACUCCACGAUGCACUGUCGCUAUCCAUGGUGUUUUGAAGCUGUUAGACUUGAUCGACAUAAUCUAUUCGAGUUUCCUUCAUGUGUUUCGUCAUUAGCCAAGUUGUGCAUCAUCUAACCAUCUUUUAUCGUCAUUCGACAAGUCGAAUCAUCGGCCAAAUUGAAGUAGGAAAAGCGUAUAAUCCCGGGGGAUCAAGUCAUUGAUAGGGAUUCUAGGGUUGAAAGAUCAGAGAUCCAAGAACCUGAGCUUAGGUGAGGACAUGAACGGAGGAUUAUGAUAUGGCUUCGAGCCUAGCUUAACCCAUGGUGGGUGGCUCUAUGUGCACAUAGGAGCAGAUAUGGAGGUUGUUACAGUGGUAGGUACUAAUUAUGUGUGAGCUCUGUUUGGCCGCGUGUUUCCUUGUGGAUAUAGAUCACGUGUGAGCUAUUGUAGGCUGUGUAUUUAGUAUGCUAUCAUGAUUGGAUUGGAUGGAGGUUGUUAUCGUGGCAGGUACUAAAUAUGCGUGAGCUAGUUUUGGCCGCAUGAUUCUUUGGUCAUGUGUAAGCUAUCUUUGACCAUAUAUUUAGGUGCAUUGUCAUGGUUGGAUUUAGUACAAGUUUGUUGGUUUGA